GCCGAUGUCGGAUUAGCUAGUUGGCGGGGUAAAAGCCCACCAAGGCGACGAUCCGUAGCUGGUCUGAGAGGACGACCAGCCACACUGGAACUGAGACACGGUCCAGACUCCUACGGGAGGCAGCAGUGGGGAAUUUUGGACAAUGGGGGCAACCCUGAUCCAGCCAUGCCGCGUGUGUGAAGAAGGCCUUCGGGUUGUAAAGCACUUUUGUUGGGGAAGAAAAGCAGUCAAUUAAUACCUGAUUGUACUGACGGUACCCAAAGAAUAAGCACCGGCUAACUUCGUGCCAGCAGCCGCGGUAAUACGAAGGGUGCAAGCGUUACUCGGAAUUACUGGGCGUAAAGCGUGCGUAGGUGGUUUGUUAAGUCAGAUGUGAAAGCCCCGGGCUCAACCUGGGAAUUGCAUUUGAUACUGGCGAACUAGAGUGAGGUAGAGGAGAGUGGAAUUCCCGGUGUAGCAGUGAAAUGCGUAGAGAUCGGGAGGAACAUCAGUUGCGAAGGCGGCUCUCUGGACCAUCACUGACACUGAGGCACGAAAGCGUGGGGAGCAAACAGGAUUAGAUACCCUGGUAGUCCACGCCCU
rnacentral:rRNA from 1 species